ensembl:snoRNA SNORD116 Small nucleolar RNA SNORD116
GGAUCGAAGAUGACUACCACAAAAACAUUCCCUGGAAAAGCUGAACAAAAUAAGUGAGAGCUCACUUCCAUCAUUCUCAUUGUGACUGAGGUCA